GCUGUUGUUGCUAAGUGGUUAGAGCAUCGGGCCAUGCACUGAAGAGUCACAGGUUCGAUUCCUGGUCAAGAGCA
rfam:Myotis brandtii contig196029, whole genome shotgun sequence.